rnacentral:rRNA from 1 species
AUCUUCCACAAUGGACGAAAGUCUGAUGGAGCAACGCCGCGUGAGUGAUGAAGGUUUUCGGAUCGUAAAACUCUGUUGUAAGGGAAGAACACGUACGAGAGGGAAUGCUCGUACCUUGACGGUACCUUACGAGAAAGCCACGGCUAACUACGUGCCAGCAGCCGCGGUAAUACGUAGGUGGCAAGCGUUGUCCGGAAUUAUUGGGCGUAAAGCGCGCGCAGGCGGCCUUUUAAGUCUGAUGUGAAAGCCCCCGGCUCAACCGGGGAGGGCCAUUGGAAACUGGAAGGCUUGAGUACAGAAGAGAAGAGUGGAAUUCCACGUGUAGCGGUGAAAUGCGUAGAGAUGUGGAGGAACACCAGUGGCGAAGGCGACUCUUUGGUCUGUAACUGACGCUGAGGCGCGAAAGCGUGGGGAGCAAACAGG